rnacentral:rRNA from 1 species
GACGAACGCUGGCGGCGUGCCUAAUACAUGCAAGUCGAACGAACUCUGGUAUUGAUUGGUGCUUGCAUCAUGAUUUACAUUUGAGUGAGUGGCGAACUGGUGAGUAACACGUGGGAAACCUGCCCAGAAGCGGGGGAUAACACCUGGAAACAGAUGCUAAUACCGCAUAACAACUUGGACCGCAUGGUCCGAGUUUGAAAGAUGGCUUCGGCUAUCACUUUUGGAUGGUCCCGCGGCGUAUUAGCUAGAUGGUGAGGUAACGGCUCACCAUGGCAAUGAUACGUAGCCGACCUGAGAGGGUAAUCGGCCACAUUGGGACUGAGACACGGCCCAAACUCCUACGGGAGGCAGCAGUAGGGAAUCUUCCACAAUGGACGAAAGUCUGAUGGAGCAACGCCGCGUGAGUGAAGAAGGGUUUCGGCUCGUAAAACUCUGUUGUUAAAGAAGAACAUAUCUGAGAGUAACUGUUCAGGUAUUGACGGUAUUUAACCAGAAAGCCACGGCUAACUACGUGCCAGCAGCCGCGGUAAUACGUAGGUGGCAAGCGUUGUCCGGAUUUAUUGGGCGUAAAGCGAGCGCAGGCGGUUUUUAAGUCUGAUGUGAAAGCCUUCGGCUCAACCGAAGAAGUGCAUCGGAAACUGGGAAACUUGAGUGCAGAAGAGGACAGUGGAACUCCAUGUGUAGCGGUGAAAUGCGUAGAUAUAUGGAAGAACACCAGUGGCGAGGCGGCUGUCUGGUCUGUAACUGACGCUGAGGCUCGAAAGUAUGGGUAGCAAACAGGAUUAGAUACCCUGGUAGUCCAUACCGUAAACGAUGAAUGCUAAGUGUUGGAGGGUUUCCGCCCUUCAGUGCUGCAGCUAACGCAUUAAGCAUUCCGCCUGGGGAGUACGGCCGCAAGGCUGAAACUCAAAGGAAUUGACGGGGGCCCGCACAAGCGGUGGAGCAUGUGGUUUAAUUCGAAGCUACGCGAAGAACCUUACCAGGUCUUGACAUACUAUGCAAAUCUAAGAGAUUAGACGUUCCCUUCGGGGACAUGGAUACAGGUGGUGCAUGGUUGUCGUCAGCUCGUGUCGUGAGAUGUUGGGUUAAGUCCCGCAACGAGCGCAACCCUUAUUAUCAGUUGCCAGCAUUAAGUUGGGCACUCUGGUGAGACUGCCGGUGACAAACCGGAGGAAGGUGGGGAUGACGUCAAAUCAUCAUGCCCCUUAUGACCUGGGCUACACACGUGCUACAAUGGAUGGUACAACGAGUUGCGAACUCGCGAGAGUAAGCUAAUCUCUUAAAGCCAUUCUCAGUUCGGAUUGUAGGCUGCAACUCGCCUACAUGAAGUCGGAAUCGCUAGUAAUCGCGGAUCAGCAUGCCGCGGUGAAUACGUUCCCGGGCCUUGUACACACCGCCCGUCACACCAUGAGGGUUUGUAACACCCAAAGUCGGUGGGGUAACCUUUUAGGAACCAGCCGCCUAAGGUGGGACAGAUGAUUAGGGUG